AUUUGCCUUAAACUUCAUCACUUACUCGUGUGUCCCCACCCUGGGACUGCACUGAGGUCAGGGGCAUGAACACCCCUGGCCCCACCACUUUAUGACUGUGUGACAUUGGGCAGUCCCUGAACUUUCCUACCUCGAUUUCUUCUUUUUUUAAAAAGGAGUGAAGACUGGCUGUCCUGUCCACGUACAGGAUUGGUUCUUGGUGAGGACCCAGUGGCAGCUGCUUGACGAUUGUCAAGGGCUGAUAUCUGCUGAUGUUAAUAUCAAUGUUGUGGUAGCUGACACAGGAAAGCAUGAGGUUGGAGUUAAGGAAUGUAGUCACACACACAGAAAUUAUAGAUUAAACCAAAAUGAGUAGAACCUUCCCCAGAAAUAAAUGUGGAAGGAAAAGUAGAGAGAGGAGUUCAAAGUAUAGGUCCCAUAGGUGGUAAGCAAGGAGGAGCAGAGAAGGGUUCAUAGAGCCAGCAGGGCAGCCAGUGGAGUGUCGGAGGCAGGGCUGCCUACAUCCAUCAGUGACAGUUCAAACAAGUCAUCUGGAUCCUUACAUACACAGACGGUAACUUGGGUUGCGGUAAGAACUCCCAGUGGAGAGCCUGCUGUAGAUGAUGGGUAAGACGGGUGUCAUCAGCAAUACUCAUCGCCACCACGUGGUCCCACAGCGCUUUGAAGUCGUGUGUGUCUACUGGUAUUAAGGGGCAGCCGUCAGUCUGCCUCUCCCCUCCUCCCCGCAGACAGCGUGCCCCAUCUUGUAUGCCAAUUUCCUUUUUGCCUCUUUCCCUCUGAGAUGUUUCCCGCAUCUCUUUCCUAUUUACAGAACUAGAUUCUCUGCUACGUGAUUGUUCUGAUCCUUUUCCCUUCAGAGCUGCAACUUUUGACCUUUGCAUACUGGGAAGGGACCCAGCUGAAAACUUGAAUUGCUACAUCUUAACAAGUCAGCCAAUUAAGUUGCACCAAAGCUUCAGGCCCUUCUCCAGAGCUGCUCCAGAAGCAAAGGGCCCUGGUGAACUUGUAUUAAACACAGCAGAGUCAGUAACCCUUCUGUCUACACAGAGACUUGCACACAAAAGUUCAUAGCAGCAUUAUUCAGAAUAGCUGAAGCCUGUCAACAACCUACGUGCUCAUCGACUGAGAAAUGGAUAAAGAAAGCGAGGUCCAUCCAUGCAAGAGAACACUACCCCACAGCACAGAGAACAACCCGCUGAUCCACGCUGCACACGGAUAAACUUCAAACAUCUUCUUAAGUGAAAGAAGCCAGAUACCAAAGGCCACAUAUUGUUUGACCCCAUUUAUAUGAAAUUUCCGGAAAAGGCAAACGCAUUCAUAGAGAAAGCAGAUCACUGGUGGCCAGAGACGGAGAUGGGAGUGAAGGUUGACUACAAAUGAGCACAAGGGAGCUCUUUUUGGGGGAUGGAAUUGUUCUACAACUGGGUUGUGGUGAUGGUUGCACAACUGUAUAAAAGUACUAAAACUCAUUGAAUUGUACGCUUAGAUAAGCGUGUGUUAUGCCAUAUAUAUUAUACCUCAAGAAAGCUGUUUAAAAAAUAGUAUUACUGAUCCAUGUGAAAAAUGCAAACAUUAUAAGGCUGUAUAAUUUAGGAAUUGAAACUCAUAGCUCUUCCCACUGUUAAAGACAUAAUUAUUCACGACACUUGUUAAGACGGUGGGGCAGACUUUAUGCAGGACCAUCACAAUAGCUAUGGGAACCACUGCAAGGAGGUUUUGCUGUAGGGAAGGGAGACGGGCUUGACUCCAGUUACACAAGGGAAAGUGGGAAUUUACAGCUAAGGAGAGAGUAGGAGGGGUCAGUGGGUGGAAAAUUACUAAGCAGAAACAUCACGGGCAAGAAGGUGUUCUGGCUGACCUGACCUCACAGGAUUCUUGCUGAAGCCAGACGGGUGAGCAGACAUCACCUGGGAUGCUGAUCAGAUAACGAGGGUGAUCAGAUAUCGAGGGGGCGGGAUCUGGCUAAACCCACUUGACAGGAUUCUUGCUACAAGUGGGCUCCUGGAGGACAUGCCCAGGGACAGGGCCUAGUCGGGCUCAGAGGAGCCUGACUAAAGUUUGGUCACAGGUGCAUCUUUGUCACCACUGCCCAAAUACAAGUACUUCGAUAAUUUGAUUUAUAUCAUUCUAGAUUUUUCUUUACAUCUACUAACAUAGAGAUGUAUGCUCAGAUUUUUAAAGAGAAAAAUUGCAUUUGUUCUUCCGCGUCUUAAUUUUCCUGUUAACAACAGGGCUCAGACCCUGGUCCUUGGAUGUUUAUCUGGGUGUGUGUGAGGCUCUGAGGUCACAUGAGGCGCAGCGUGCAGGCCUAAAUCAGCAACCUCUCCCCACAGCCCUUCCACAUUCCUUGCUGAGGGUGGGCAGCCUCAAGCCAGGGCCAGAGACAGGAUGUGGGGGUUUGUUUUCACAGGCCUUUCUUGCUCUCAGAUCCAGAGCCAGGGCCAGAAGCCUCAAAACAGGCGUCUGUACAAAGCCUUUCCGAACAGUGUAGUGAGUGACUAGUAAGAGUCAGGGGGAAGAUGGCAAAGAUCAAGGUAGUGAUUCAAAUGCAAAAGAUCUUCCUUGACUUAUCAUGAGGUUAUGCCCCAUAAACCCAUCGUAAAUUGAAAAUAUCCUGUCGAAAAUGCAUUUAAUACCCCUAACCUACCGAACAUCCUCGCUUAGCCUCAUCUACCUUAAACAUGCUCAGAACACUUACAUCAGCUUACAGUUGGGCAAAAUCAUCUCACACAGAACCUACUUUAUAAUAAGUGUUGCACAUCUCAUGUAAUUGACUACUGUACUGAAAGUGACAAACAGGAUGGUUGUGUGGGUGCAGAAUGGUUGGAAGUCUAUCAGUUGCUCACCCCCGUGAUCCUGUGGCUGACGGGGAGCUGCAGCAGCUGCUGCCGCCCAGCAUCACGAGAGAGGGUUGUACUGCACAGCACUGGCCCCGGAAAUGACCACAAAUCAAAGUUCAAAGUAUGGUUUCUACUGAAUGCAUAUCACUUGCACCAUCAUAAAGUUGAAAAAUGAUAAGUCAAAACAUCGUAAGUUGGGGACCAUCUUUAGUAGAAAAUUGAAUGUAGUCAUACAUCACAUAACGAUGUUUCAGUCAACAACAAACCACAUAUACAACGGGAGUCCCAUAAGAUGGUACCAUCGAGCCUAGGUGUGUAGUAGGCUAUACCAUCUAGGUUUGUGUGAGUCACUCCAUGAUGUUCACACAAGGACUAAAUCACCUAAUGGCACACUUCUCAGAACAUGUCAUCACUGUUAAGAGACACAUGACUGUAUUUGGUAUGGCAUUUGACCCAAAGAAAAAUUACUACUUUACCUUUUUUUUUCCCAAAGAUUGGCACCUGAGCUAACAAUUGUUGCCAGUCUUUUUUUUUCUGCUUUUUCUCCCCAAAUCCCAGUACCUAGUUGCAUAUUUCAGUUGUAGCUCCUUCCAGUUGUGGCAUGUGGGACACCGCCUCAGCAUGGCCUAAUGAGUGAUGCCACGUCUGCACCUAGGAUCCAAACCGGUGGAACCCUGGGCCGCCGAAGGGGAGUAUGCGAACUUAACCACUUGGCCAUGGGGCUGGCCCCAACUUCCUAGUUUACUUUUAAAAAGUCAGUGCAUUACAUUGCAAGCACUUGUUCUUUCUGUAUCAGAGAAAGGAUGUCAGGGCCGCUUCAGACUACCUAUAUGUACAGACUACAAUAGAUGUACCCCGAGAGUUAGUUCAAAAAGAUGGAUUUGCAAGGGGAAAAUGCCAGAGGCUUUCUCUUCCUAUAAUCAGGACCAUGAUUUGCUGCGAGUGUUGAGCUUGUUGGAAAUAUCCCACAGGCUUCACCAUUUGAGUGCACAGUGCAUAAUGUUAAUCCUUGAGGAUUAAUAGGGAAGUAAGAUUAACAGACCAGCAUCCCUCAUCUUCAAUAAUGAACUGGUCGUCUCCUGAGCUUUUAUAUCAUGCUGCGGAGAUUGAAAAG
ensembl:lncRNA